rnacentral:lncRNA from 1 species
GUGGAAACUGUUGUGUUUAUCUCAGAUUAAAUAAUUCUAAUCUGUAUCCUAUUUCCUCUUACUAGAGAGGACUUGUGCUUAUCAUUUAAAUAUAUUACAUGCUUGCUCAAAUGCCAUUUAAAUCACGUUAUUCUCUUCCUUAAGACCUUUUAGGGGUUCUCAUAACUUACAGGAUGCAGGAUGAGGUCUGAAUUUCUUAGCAUCGCUUCAAGGCUCUUUAUCUUACUUCUUUAUGAAUAUUGCUUCUAUUUUCUCCUUUUUAGGGUACUCCUCCUUCCACUUUUUCCAUUUUCCACCCUUGUAAGCCUUCAUACUUGACCUAUUUAUCACUUGUUUGUAGCGGUAUACAGCAAAUAUUUGUCACUUUCCAUGAACUGCCUUGAAUUCCGUUGUUUUUUAAAAUGUACGUGUAGCAUGCCUGGAGAGAAGGCAUCAUGUCAAGAAUUUUUUUGUAAUCUUCACAGUACCUUGCACACUGUAGGUGUGUGGCAAGCAAACACUGGUGAUGGGAAGGAUCAGUAUAGUGUUUAGUCAUUCUGUACAAUUUAUGGGAAUGUUGAUAGUAGUAGGGCAACAUAAGCCAACCUUUCUUUUCAUUCUUCCUCUAUUAUUUGAGUGUUAUGCAAUAGUUAUAUUACCAUGCACACAGUUAUUUGGAAAACAAUGGCUUUCUCCUCAAUUAUUAUAGAACUUUAAUGCAUAUAUUUAAAAUAACAAGUGUCUUUGGUGUGGAACAUAAAUUGGUGACAUUCAUCACUAGGUGGCACACCACAAGCUCCUGUGGGGCAGUUACACAAGCUGGCCUAUUAUUUGAAGAAGGACUGCAAAGAUUCAGAGCAAUUUGCUUUGGGAAAAAUGACAUCAGAAGUGAUAUUCAAUUACUCCUUUUAGAUGGAUUUCCAGAGAGACUGACUUUGUUCAUGAGCAACGACACAUCUUCUACACAGAUGGAUGGGAAGAAAGAAGAGAGAGGUGUAGACAAAGAUACAUUUCUAAGUGUGUUUGCAAGGGGGCCAGGAGGCAGACAGCAUGUGACCUGGGGUCCUCUGUGUUCUCUGUACAGCAGGAGAUGA